GGAGGAAAGCAGGGGAUCGCAAGACCUUGCGCUUUUGGAGUGGCCGAUGCCUGAUUAGCUAGUUGGUAGGGUAAUGGCUUACCAAGGCGACGAUCAGUAGUUGGUCUGAGAGGACGACCAGCCACACUGGGACUGAGACACGGCCCAGACUCCUACGGGAGGCAGCAGUGGGGAAUUUUGGACAAUGGGCGAAAGCCUGAUCCAGCAAUGCCGCGUGAGUGAAGAAGGCCUUCGGGUUGUAAAGCUCUUUCAGUCGAGAAGAAAAGGUUGUGACUAAUAAUCACAACUCAUGACGGUAUCGACAGAAGAAGCACCGGCUAACUACGUGCCAGCAGCCGCGGUAAUACGUAGGGUGCGAGCGUUAAUCGGAAUUACUGGGCGUAAAGGGUGCGCAGGCGGCUUUGUAAGUCAGAUGUGAAAUCCCCGGGCUUAACCUGGGAAUUGCGUUUGAAACUACAAAGCUAGA
rnacentral:rRNA from 1 species